rnacentral:rRNA from 1 species
CUAUGCUCAGCCCUAAACAUAAAUAAUUCUCACAACAAAAUUAUUCGCCAGCAGAACUACUAGCAACAGCUUAAAACUCAAAGGACUUGGCGGUGCUUUAUAUCCCUCUAGAGGAGCCUGUUCUAUAAUCGAUAAACCCCGAUAAACCUCACCACUUCUAGCUAAACCAGUCUAUAUACCGCCAUCUU